rnacentral:pre_miRNA from 1 species
UUGUUACUCCCUCCGUCCAGAAAUACUUGUCAUUGAAAUGGAUGUAUCUAGAUGUAUUUUAGUUCUACAUACAUCCAUUGUCAUCCAUUUUGAUGACAAGUAAUUCCGGACGGAGGGAGUAUUAU